UAAUCUUACUUGUACGUAUGUGAUUUUAG
rnacentral:piRNA from 1 species